rnacentral:pre_miRNA from 1 species
CAAGUACUCCCUCCGUCCGGAGUUACUUGUCAUCAAAAUGGAUGUGUCUAGAACUAAAAUACAUCUAGAUACAUCCAUUUCAAUGACAAGUAUUUUCGGACGGAGGGAGUACAAG